GACGAACGCUGGCGGCGUGCUUAACACAUGCAAGUCGAGCGGGGAUGUAUGAUGGAAGCUUUCGGGUGGAAGUUAUAUAUUCUAGCGGCGGACGGGUGAGUAACGCGUGAGCAACCUACCCCAGAGCGGGGAAUAACACGGUGAAAGUCGUGCUAAUACCGCAUAAGACCACGGUUUCACAUGGAACUGAGGUAAAAGGAGAAAUCCACUCUGGGCUGGGCUCGCGUCUGAUUAGCUAGUUGGUGAGGUAACGGCCCACCAAGGCAACGAUCAGUAGCCGGCCUGAGAGGGCGAUCGGCCACACUGGAACUGAGAGACGGUCCAGACUCCUACGGGAGGCAGCAGUGGGGAAUAUUGGGCAAUGGGGGAAACCCUGACCCAGCAACGCCGCGUGAGGGAAGAAGGCUUUCGGGUCGUAAACCUCUGUCCCAUGUGAAGAGAAGAAGACGGUAGCAUGGGAGGAAGCCCCGGCUAACUACGUGCCAGCAGCCGCAGUAA
rnacentral:rRNA from 1 species